AGAUACCCGUAUGUAAAAAUUACUUAGCGACAGUCGUUAUGUAUGUGUGUUUACAUAUGAAACGAAAGUGGAAAUUCAUUUUAACCAAGUGGACAAUUGUUUUUUAAAGUUUAAAGAUCUACGGUUCGUUUUUAUUUGAUUCAAGUCCAGUCGAUUUAAUACACGUUUAGUAAAGAUCCUUGUCCAGUCAAUGUGAUCCUUGUCCAGUCAAGUUAUUAUAGAUACUUGAGAUGACGACACAACCUUACUUAUAAAAUAGGCUGACCUCAGAGGUACAUUCAUCAGUAUUUAUCUAAUUAGCUAUAAUGGAAAGUUGGAAUAAGAAACUUACUACAGCUGCUUGGGAGGGAGAUACAGAAGCCUUAAAAUUAAGCCUACAGAAUGGUGCAGAAAUUGAUUAUCAAGAUG